rnacentral:rRNA from 1 species
AACGCGAAGAACCUUACCAAGGUUUGACAUGCAGGGAAAAGCCGUAGAGAUACGGUGUCCGUAAGGGUCCUGCACAGGUGGUGCAUGGCUGUCGUCAGCUCGUGUCGUGAGAUGUUGGGUUAAGUCCCGCAACGAGCGCAACCCUCGUCCUAUGUUGCCAGCGGGUAAUGCCGGGGACUCAUAGGAGACUGCCGGGGUCAACUCGGAGGAAGGUGGGGAUGACGUCAAGUCCUCAUGCCCCUUAUGUCUUGGGCUGCAAACAUGCUACAAUGGCCGGUACAAAGGGUUGCGAGACCGCAAGGUGGAGCGAAUCCCAAAAAGCCGGUCUCAGUUCGGAUUGGGGUCUGCAACUCGACCCCAUGAAGUCGGAGUCGCUAGUAAUCGCAGAUCAGCAACGCUGCGGUGAAUACGUUCCCGGGCCUUGUACACACCGGCUAC